UGGAUUGAAGCCAGUUGUGUUGGGCGUUUAGCUGUUAACUAAAUUUUUACAGGUU
rnacentral:tRNA from 1 species